GACGAACGCUGGCGGCGCGCUUAACACAUGCAAGUCGAACGGAAAGGCCUGCUUUCCUUUGUGGAUUGCGGGUACUCGAGUGGCGAACGGGUGAGUAACACGUGAGUGAUCUGCCCCCAACUUGGGUAUAAGCCUGGGAAACUGGGUCUAAUUCCCGAUAGGACUGCAGGGUGGUGCCUGUGGUGGAAAACGAUUUUCUAGUGGUUGGGGAUGAGCUCGCGGCCUAUCAGCUUGUUGGUGGGGUAAUGGCCUACCAAGGCGGCGACGGGUAGCCGGCCUGAGAGGGUGGACGGCCACAUUGGGACUGAGAUACGGCCCAGACUCCUACGGGAGGCAGCAGUGGGGAAUAUUGCACAAUGGGUGGAAGCCUGAUGCAGCGACGCCGCGUGGGGGAUGACGGCCUUCGGGUUGUAAACUCCUUUCGACCGCGAGGAAGCCACCUGGUUGGAAGGGUGGUGACGGUAGUGGUAGAAGAAGCACCGGCUAACUACGUG
rnacentral:rRNA from 1 species